CUGCAGGUAUAUGUACUUAUCUAAUGUUAAUUUUCUUUGCCUCUUUGACUUUUGCCCGUUAUAAGCAUCGCUGGCUUCGGUUUUGUAAAAUUUUUAUUAUUUUACUCUUCUAAAAUGGAAUUUACUCUUCUUUAUAUACAUAGCAUUCUUUAUAUACACAUCUUUUUCUUGGUCAGCUUGUCGAUCAGUUAAGUACCAUUGCAUAUUGCUGCUAUCACGAAGCUUCCUCGUCUCUCUUAUAACAUCCAUCCGGCGGGUUCUGGCAAGUAUCUUCCUAAUGGUCGCUUUUUUUUUCUAUAAAGGAUCGAAUAUUUGACCCGUUAUGUACG